AGUGAACGCUGGCGGUAGGCCUAACACAUGCAAGUCGAACGGCAGCACAGUAAAAGCUUGCUCUUACGGGUGGCGAGUGGCGGACGGGUGAGGAAUACAUCGGAAUCUACUUUUUCGUGGGGGAUAACGUAGGGAAACUUACGCUAAUACCGCAUACGACCUACGGGUGAAAGCAGGGGAUCUUCGGACCUUGCGCGAUUGAAUGAGCCGAUGUCGGAUUAGCUAGUUGGCGGGGUAAAGGCCCACCAAGGCGACGAUCCGUAGCUGGUCUGAGAGGAUGAUCAGCCACACUGGAAGUGAGACACGGUCCAGACUCCUACGGGAGGCAGCAGUGGGGAAUAUUGGACAAUGGGCGAAAGCCUGAUCCAGCCAUACCGCGUGAGUGAAGAAGGCCUUCGGGUGGUAAAGCCCUUUUGUUGGGAGAGAAAAGCAGCAGGUUAAUACCCCGCUGUUCUGAAGGUACCCAAAGAAUAAGCACCGGCUAACUUCGUG
rnacentral:rRNA from 1 species